UACGAAGGGUGCAAGCGUUACUCGGAAUUACUGGGCGUAAAGCGUGCGUAGGUGGUGAGUUAAGUCUGAUGUGAAAUCCCCGGGCUCAACCUGGGAAUGGCAUUGGAUACUGGCUCGCUAGAGUGCGGUAGAGGGUGGUGGAAUUCCCGGUGUAGCAGUGAAAUGCGUAGAGAUCGGGAGGAACAUCUGUGGCGACGGCGGCCACCUGGACCAACACUGACACUGAGGCACGAAAGCGUGGGGAGCAAACAGG
rnacentral:rRNA from 1 species